rnacentral:rRNA from 1 species
AAUUCGAUUGAGUUUGAUCAUGGCUCAGGACGAACGCUGGCGGCGUGCUUAACACAUGCAAGUCGAGCGGUAAGGCCUCUUCGGGGGUACACGAGCGGUGAACGGGUGAGUAACACGUGGGCGACCUGCCCUCAGCCCUGGGAUAAGCCUGGGAAACUGGGUCUAAUACCGGAUAUGACUUCGCAUCGCAUGGUGUGUUGUGGAAAGUUUUUUCGGCUGGGGAUGGGCCCGCGGCCUAUCAGCUUGUUGGUGGGGUGAUGGCCUACCAAGGCGACGACGGGUAGCCGGCCUGAGAGGGCGUCCGGCCACACUGGGACUGAGACACGGCCCAGACUCCUACGGGAGGCAGCAGUGGGGAAUAUUGCGCAAUGGGCGGAAGCCUGACGCAGCGACGCCGCGUGGGGGAUGACGGCCUUCGGGUUGUAAACCUCUUUCGACCGGGACGAAGCGUGAGUGACGGUACCGGUAGAAGAAGCACCGGCCAACUACGUGCCAGCAGCCGCGGUAAUACGUAGGGUGCGAGCGUUGUCCGGAAUUAUUGGGCGUAAAGAGCUCGUAGGCGGUGUGUCGCGUCGGUCGUGAAAACUUGGGGCUUAACCCUGAGCUUGCGGUCGAUACGGGCAUCACUGGAGUUCGGCAGGGGAGACUGGAAUUCCUGGUGUAGCGGUGAAAUGCGCAGAUAUCAGGAGGAACACCGGUGGCGAAGGCGGG